GACACAGCAGAGAAAGUGUUUGCUUUUUUCACCAUUUAGCAUCCAAACCGUGUCAAAAUGUGCAAGCUCACUCUAACUGCAGCUCUCUGUUUGAUCAUCGCUUGCUUGGGUUUACCUGGCAUUGAAGCAAACUCCAACCCCAACUUUGCAUUCUCCUGCAUUGGAAAACCCGAUGGGCAAUACCCCAACCCAAGUGACGAACAUUCUUUCUUCUACUGUGUAGCUGGAAAAGCAUUUCUCACACAAUGCCCAGCAAAUUUGGUCUAUAACUCAGCCAUUAAGGUGUGUGCCUUCCCCGAUACUCCACUUAACAAUGCAAACGACUGCGUUGGAAAAGCAGAUGGGCAGUACACCAACCCUAGUGACCAGCAUUCUUUUCUCAGCUGUGUAGCUGGACUAACCUACAUCAUGCAAUGCCCAGCAAAUUUGGUCUAUGUAGAAGCCGAGAAUAAAUGUUUGUAUUAACCAAAGUUCUACUACAGAUGAUGGAGGCCAAUGUAGUAGAAGAAGAAAUGGGCAAUAUCCCAACCCUGAUAUAAUCAAAUUCUGUUAAAUGUUCAAUUUGCUCUGUUUCUUCAAUGUUUUUGGAUGUGAGAAAUGUAAUAGUGGUUAAAUAUCACAUUGUUUUCUUAACUUCAUUGUUGUGUGUAUAAUCACAUUGGGUGCUUUCUCUUUCGUUUAUGUUUAGCCAUUGGUGAAUGGAUUGGUCUUACAUUAUGACACAAACGUGGCAUAUUGUAAUUAUAUUCAUGUGAUCUCACUCUGAAUUUAAUUCAAUCAUAAUUAUGAAACAAUGAAGCAAUAAAAUACAGCAAAUAUA